CGAUCUGUGGUCUAGUGGUUAGAACGUCCGCCUCGGAUGUGGGAGGUCGCGGGUUCGAUCCCAGGUCGA